UACAGAGGGUGCAAGCGUUAAUCGGAAUUAUUGGGCGUAAAGGGUGCGUAGGUGGUUAUAUAAGUUAGGUGUGAAAGUCCCGGGCUUAACCUGGGGAUUGCGCUUAAGACUGUAUGGCUAGAGUACUGUAGAGGGAAGUGGAAUUUCCGGUGUAGCGGUGAAAUGCGUAGAUAUCGGAAGGAACACCAGUGGCGAAGGCGACUUUCUGGACAGUUACUGACGCUGAGGCACGAAGGCCAGGGGAGCAAACGGG
rnacentral:rRNA from 1 species